UUCAACAGAAAAGAUGAGUCCCUGAUAAAUA
rnacentral:piRNA from 1 species